AGUGAACGCUGGCGGUAGGCCUAACACAUGCAAGUCGAACGGCAGCACAGGAGAGCUUGCUCUCUGGGUGGCGAGUGGCGGACGGGUGAGGAAUACAUCGGAAUCUACUCUGUCGUGGGGGAUAACGUAGGGAAACUUACGCUAAUACCGCAUACGACCUACGGGUGAAAGCAGGGGACCUUCGGGCCUUGCGCGAAUGAAUGAGCCGAUGUCGGAUUAGCUAGUUGGCGGGGUAAAGGCCCACCAAGGCGACGAUCCGUAGCUGGUCUGAGAGGAUGAGCAGCCACACUGGAACUGAGCCACGGUCCAGACGCCUACGGGAGGCAGCAGUGGGGAAUAUUGGACAAUGGGCGCAAGCCUGAUCCAGCCAUACCGCGUGGGUGAAGAAGGCCUUCGGGUUGUAAAGCCCUUUUGUUGGGAAAGAAAUCCAGCUGGCUAAUACCCGGUUGGGAUGACGGUACCCAAAGAAUAAGCACCGGCUAACUUCGUGCCAGCCGCCGCAGUAA
rnacentral:rRNA from 1 species